rnacentral:rRNA from 1 species
CCCGGGUCUUGUACACACCGCCCGUCACACCACGAAAGCCCGCUGCAACAGAAGUAUGCUCUUGGAGCAUCCGAAGUUGUGGUUGGUGAUUGGGGUG